UCCGCAAUGGACGAAAGUCUGACGGAGCACGCCGCGUGAGUGAUGAAGGCUUUCGGGUCGUAAAACUCUGUUGUUAGGGAAGAACAAGUGCUAGUUGAAUAAGCUGGCACCUUGACGGUACCUAACCAGAAAGCCACGGCUAACUACGUGCCAGCAGCCGCGGUAAUACGUAAGUGGCAAGCGUUAUCCGGAAUUAUUGGGCGUAAAGCGCGCGCAGGUGGUUUCUUAAGUCUGAUGUGAAAGCCCACGGCUCAACCGUGGAGGGUCAUUGGAAACUGGGAGACUUGAGUGCAGAAGAGGAAAGUGGAAUUCCAUGUGUAGCGGUGAAAUGCGUAGAGAUAUGGAGGAACACCAGUGGCGAAAGCGACUUUCUGGUCUGUUACUGACACUGAGGCGCGAAAGCGUGGGGAGCAAACAGGAUAGAUACCCUGGUAGUCCACGCCGUAAACGAUGAGUGCUAAGUGUUAGAGGGUUUCCGCCCUUUAGUGCUGAAGUUAAACGCAUUAAGCACUCCGCCUGGGGAGUACGGCCGCAAGGCUGAAACUCAAAAGGGAAUUGACCGGGGGCCCGCCACAACGGUGGAACAAUGUGGUUUAAUUUCGAAGCAAACGCGAAAAACCCUUACCAGGGUCCUUGGCAUCUUCUGAAAACCCUAAAAAUAGGGGUCUUCUCCCUUCGGGAAACAAAGUGACAGGUGNUGCAUGGUUGUNGUCAGCUCGUGUCGUGAGAUGUUGGGUUAAGUCCCGCAACGAGCGCAACCCUUGAUCUUAGUUGCCAUCAUUAAGUUGGGCACUCUAAGGUGACUGCCGGUGACAAACCGGAGGAAGGUGGGGAUGACNUCAAAUCAUCAUGCCCCUUAUGACCUGGGCUACACACGUGCUACAAUGGACGGUACAAAGAGCUGCAAGACCGCGAGGUGGAGCUAAUCUCAUAAAACCGUUCUCAGUUCGGAUUGUAGGCUGCAACUCGCCUACAUGAAGCUGGAAUCGNUAGGAAUCGNCGUAUCAGC
rnacentral:rRNA from 1 species